GCACUAGUAGUCUAGUGGUAGGAUGACGCGUUCCCAUUGCGUCGGCCCGGUUUCGAUUACCGGCUAGUGCA
rfam:Cryptosporidium ubiquitum isolate 39726 contig_5, whole genome shotgun sequence.